rnacentral:piRNA from 2 species
UUGUAAACAGGAGAUCCUGGGUUCGA